GUGGGGAAUCUUGCGCAAUGGGCGAAAGCCUGACGCAGCCAUGCCGCGUGAAUGAUGAAGGUCUUAGGAUUGUAAAAUUCUUUCACCGGGGACGAUAAUGACGGUACCCGGAGAAGAAGCUCCGGCUAACUUCGUGUCAGCAGCCGCGGUAAUACGAAGGGGGCUAGCGUUGCUCGGAAUUACUGGGCGUAAAGGGCGCGUAGGCGGACAGCUUAGUCAGAGGUGAAAGCCCAGGGCUCAACCUUGGAAUUGCCUUUGAUACUGGCUGUCUUGAGUUUGGGAGAGGUGAGUGGAACUCCGAGUGUAGAGGUGAAAUUCGUAGAUAUUCGGAAGAACACCAGUGGCGAAGGCGACUCACUGGCCCAAUACUGACGCUGAGGCGCGAAAGCGUGGGGAGCAAACAGGAUUAGAAACCCUAGUAGUCC
rnacentral:rRNA from 1 species